AAAUCCAACUUAUCUCCGUACUCACCCUCUAAACUUCCUUUUUACAACCCACGUUCUCCUUAAAAAAAAACUUCCCACGUUUGAAACAUUAAAACUUCCCCACAAUCGAUCAACUGCUUCCGCACAUUUCCUACUCUUCAUCAAUUUCCUCUUCCGCCUAAAGAUAGUUCAAGAGAAUUCUUCCUCCUUCUCCGUCUCCGCUCUCGCCGUCGACUCCUCCCGCCGCCGUCUCAUCGCCGCCUUCUCCUCUCCAGCCUCGAUAUCCUCCUACGACCUCCGAUCCCCCACCCCCACCGCCUCAUCUUCUCCUCUCCCCUCUAAUUUCCCCAACGUCUCCCAAAACCCUAACCCUAACCCUAAAAUCCCUCUAAAGUCGCUAACAUUUAUUCAUGGAUCCUAAACCCAUCGAUCUCGGGAGCGCCAGUGGUGGCGAUGCCGACGAGUUCGCGAUCACUCGGAAGUGAUCUCGCCGUGUGAGCUUCGCUAAGACCACUGCCAUCCAUGUCUUCGACCGCGACGAGGAUUUCGAAACUCCGCCUGAAUUGAAAUCUGAAGGAUGGAAUGUUGGAAGCGGGGAGCUAGGGCUUGGAGGUGAUCAGUUUAGUAGCGAUGGUUGUGUCAUUUUUGCUUAGUUUCUUUCCAGUAUUUAUCGCUUGGGUAUAUUCAGAGAUCUUGGAGUAUAGGAAGCCUUCCUCUCCUCCAAUUUUGUAAGAUUUUCUCUACAAUUUAAGAUUUCAUAUAUAUAGUGCUAAGAUGUUCUCAACUUUAUUGGUUAUCCUACACAACUUUAUUAGUUACCCCCCAUAAUAAAGAUUUUCUAGAAUUGACAACUUAAUGCAGGGUUAAUCUAAAAUACAAAAAAGUAGAAAUAUCACAUUUUAAUCUCAGAGGGUAUUUAAAGAAAAGUGUUUUUAUGUCUUCUUGAAGAGGGCGUGUGUUAUCCAUCAUAGUGACAGUGAGUUUUCUGUAUAACUUCUUUUCAUUUAUUUAUUUAUAUGUUAUAACCGGCCAAUAUCCAGAUACUGUUACUAUUACAGGGCAAACAAAUUGUUUAUGAUGGGUUAGGGACAGAGAAAGAAAUGAUCUUGAUAGCAAUGGGGGGAUUUUGAUGGGUUGAUAAUAAUGCAAAACUUCAGGAGGAAUUUAGGGAUGUUGUUGUACCAAUUUCCCAGAGCAAAGCUUGACAAGCAUGAUAGACUCUUGGAAUUUGUUCGGAAACUCGAGUCUUCAUGUGUUGAAACGGUGGAGUCAGGCAAAAUGACAAUUUUGUUACUUUGGUCCUUUUAAAUUUUGAGUAUUAGUUAGUAUAUAUAUUUGCAACAAAAGCACAUGUAAAGUUUUGAACUUUAUUUAAAAAACUAUUCAUCAAGGUUGUAUAGUAUUAUUGUAGGUGACUGGUC